rnacentral:rRNA from 1 species
GCUUACAGCCAUACCAACCUGGCUAUGCCCGGUCUCAUCUGCUCUCCGAAGCUAAGCAGGUUUGGGCCUAGUUAGUACUUGGAUGGGAGACCGCCUGAGAAUACCAGGUGCUGAAAGCU